CCUACGGGGGCUGCAGUGGGGAAUAUUGGACAAUGGGCGAAAGCCUGAUCCAGCCAUGCCGCGUGUGUGAAGAAGGCCUUCGGGUUGUAAAGCACUUUCAGUGGGGAAGAAAGCCUUGGGGCUAAUACCCUCGAGGAAGGACAUCACCCACAGAAGAAGCACCGGCUAACUCCGUGCCAGCAGCCGCGGUAAUACGGAGGGUGCGAGCGUUAAUCGGAAUUACUGGGCGUAAAGCGCGCGUAGGCGGUCUGAUAAGCCGGUUGUGAAAGCCCCGGGCUCAACCUGGGAACGGCAUCCGGAACUGUCAGGCUAGAGUGCAGGAGAGGAAGGUAGAAUUCCCGGUGUAGCGGUGAAAGGCGUAGAGAUCGGGAGGAAUACCAGUGGCGAAGGCGGCCUUCUGGACUGACACUGACGCUGAGGUGCGAAAGCGUGGGUAGCAAACAGGAUUAGAUACCCUAGUAGUC
rnacentral:rRNA from 1 species